GGCUGGUUAGCUCAGUUGGUUAGAGCGUGGUGCUGAUAACACCAAGGUCGCGGGUUCGAUCCCCAUUCGGUCC
rnacentral:tRNA from 1 species